AUUGAACGCUGGCCGCAUGCCUUACACAUGCAAGUCGAACGGCAGCACGGGUGCUUGCACCUGGUGGCGAGUGGCGAACGGGUGAGUACUACAUCGGAACGUACAUUAUCGUCGGGGAUAACCAAUUGGAAAAUUUGCUAAUACCGCCUACUACUCUAAGGAGGAAAGCGGGGGAUUCGUAAGAACCUCGUGCGACUAGAGCGGCCGAUGGCUGAUUAGCGAGUUGGUGAGGUAAAGGCCCACCAAGGCAACGAUAAGUAGCAGGUCUGAGAGGAUGAUCUGCCACACGGGAACUGAGAAACGGUCCAGACUCCUACGGGAGGAAGCAGUGGGGAAUUUGGGACAAUGGACGAAAGUCUGAUCCAGCAAUGCUGCGUGAGUGAAGAAGGCCUUCGGGUUGUAAAGCUCUUUUGUCAGUGAAGAAAACUUUAGUAAUAACACUAUUAAAGCAUGACGGUAACUGAAGAAUAAGGACCGGCUAACUACGUGCCAUCCGCCGCCGUAA
rnacentral:rRNA from 1 species